rnacentral:rRNA from 1 species
GUCUACAGCCAUACCACCGCCCGAUGUCAUCUGGUCUAAGAAGCUAAGCAGGGUUGGGCCUGGUUAGUACUUGGAUGGGAGAGGGAGAAUUCUGUGAAGAGAGUCUCUUCACGGGAGCUGUGGCUU